UCAACUUCUUAGGGUUAACAACUAUUUUACACGGCUUCAGUUAACCUGCCAUUUUAAAAUUCCACAUUUUUUAAUGAACACUUGCCUGGACAAAACAGCAGCUUGCUAUAUUCCCAUCUUUUGAUGCUCGGAUUAGUGAAAUAGAAGUUCCAGAUAAAAGAUUCAUGUUGAUUGAUCUUUCUUAUCAUCAGUUGCACCACUUAUGUUGAUGCAAUUUUAGGGAAGCUGGACUCUGGAACAUGCAAAACUUAAGGCCAGACUUGAGAUUCUGCAGAGGAAUCAAAAGUUUGUCAAAACAGACAUAACAUAACGAUACACUUGGAUCCUACAUAUUAAUAAACAUGAUAUUGUCUGCCUUGAAGAAGAAUUGGCAAAACUUCAUAGUUUCCUCCCAGGAUGGAACUUGAAGAUUGGCUUUAUGUAACAAACACCUUCUCAUAUCAUCUACCUCAGCAAAGUUGCACUUACGCAAUUGAAAAGUGGAUUGUAUGAUAUCACAUUCUGCUUCCGAUGGCAAACACAGCAAAGGACUAUGAUGUUGUUUUGAAGUGCUUAGUUUGAGGUCUAAAUAUGUGCUUGUGGACUGGUGAGUAGGCUAUGAACUUGCUCACAUAUAGAGGAAUUUUCUUUGUAAAGGCUUUUCAUUUUUAUAUGUCACCGGAACUAAUAGUAAAUGUAGCUAUUUCAUUUGAAUGCACUAUGUGUUUGAACUAUUAAAAUCAGUUGAAGAACAAGUACUUUGUUCUUUAUUUUAGCGACAGUUAAGGAGCUGAAAUCAACAUCUUAGCUUUAAGUCUGUGUUUUUGUCUAGGGGUGUCUUGGACUAAACUGUGUGGACUCUCCAUAUUCGAUGCCAUGUCCGUGUCAGGUUAUACAAAAAUGCACUACUUUUGAAAAAUGUGGCAUACACCAGAGUCCGCGUAACAUAGACCUUGGACAUUUUCUCCUAUCUAAUGAUGCAAGAUGGUUUUCAAGUUUUAGCUGCAUAGACAUAGUGUUAUAUUUGUCAUGUUGAUGCUUUCGUUUGGUUCCAUGUGUUCUAAUUUAGAAAAUGGAGGAGAUAACUGAGGUAACGAUAAGCUGAGUGCAAGGCAGAAUGUGAUUACUACUAAUUAGUUCUUGAUGAUAGUCUGAUUUGUUCUUUGGAUCAGUACAUGAAUGUCUACGAUUAUUACAUUUAUGGUAGUCUGGUUGGUCUUAUCUGAUGUAUUUUACUUAUGCACAAACAUUUUCGAUAUAUCUUUCGUUUUAGUAGCUCCCAGUAAUUUCUUCAUCAGGUUUUGUCAAAACAGACAUAACAUAACGAUACACUUGGAAACUCCUUCUGUAAGUUGCUCAGCUACUGUCUUUCCUCGAAUAAAGUUUACUUGAAACUCCGUGGUUCCUCCUUUUCGACCAACCAUGCUGAAAAAGAAAAUGGUCCAGGAGAACUUGUGACAUCUCGUGAGUAAUGUCACUAUGGCAUCCUACAUCUGUGAAUUCAUCCGCCGGAAAAUUUUAUAGGGCGGCAGUUCGUCCGGCCAUGUUAUAUGGAGCGGAGUGUUGGCCAAUCAAAAACUCUCACAUCCAAAAAUUGAAGGUGGCAGAAAUGCAGAUGUUGCGUUGGAUGUGUGGGCUUACUAAGGGUGAUAGAGUUCGGAAUGAGACCAUUCGGGAAAAAGUUGGAGUGGCUUCGGUGGAGGACAAGAUUCGGGAAGUUCGAUUGAGAUGGUUCGGACACGUGAUAAAGAGGGGUACGGAUGCCCCGGUUCGUAGGUAUGAGCGGCUAGCAUUGGAUGGAUUCAGGCGGAGUAGGGGUAGACCGAAGAAAUACUGGAAAAAGGUUAUUAGGCAGGACAUGGAGCAGUUGCAGCUCACUGAGGACAUGACCCUAGAUAGGAAGAUCUGGAGGACGCGAAUCAGGAUGGAAGGUUAGUGAUAGUUUGGGUCGUUGGGGUAGGGUAAUACUGGGUGGGUGUAUUUUUCUUGUUAUGCCACAUUGUUGCAUGUCUUAUUACGUAUUUGUUUACUAUUCUUUGUUUAUUAUCCUUUGUGGGUGGAUUAGUUAUGUCUUUUUCAUCUUUUCUCAUGCUUUAUUUCGGAUUUAAUUAGUAUUUCGUGUCGUGAGCUGGGGGUCUAUCGGAAACAGCCUCUCUAUCUCAUCAGAGGUAGUGGUAUGGACUGCGUACAUUUUACCCUCCCCAGACCCCCACUAUGUGGGAAUACACUGAAUUUAUUGUUAUUGUUGUUGUAAAUUACGUCAUCAGCUGGUUGUUGGUUUAUGGGUCCUCCCACUUGCUGGCAAUUGCUGCAACUUUUUGACACUAUUCAACAGAUGUAAGUGCAAAAUUUCUAGGUGACCCAUUGGGCCUUUUGUACUCCCUCCGUUUCACAAUAAGUUUAUCAUGUUUUUCCAUUUUUACCCAGACACAUGAUCAUCAUUCUCAAUGCAUAUUUAAUGGAGGGUAAAUUUGAAAAAAAAUUUCAAAAUUUACUUUUAAUUGUGAACCAUUCACUUAUUUUGAAAUACUAAAAUUGCUCUAACAAUUCACUUACUGUGAAACGGAAGGAGUAUUUGUUAUGUAUUCUAAACUGAUAUUGAUACUGAUUGUAUCUUCCUCUCAAUGCAACAGCAUUCAUGCUACUCUAUACAGUUCCUGUUCUUUAAGAUAAAGUGUGUCCAUUUGUUGAGAAAGCAGUGCAAAAGAUCAAGAAACAAUACGUUGUCCAUUUGUAGAUUUUUUUUUUUGCUUUCUUCUUUUCUCAUUUUUACUUAUUUUAUUAUAUUACUUUAUAAAAUAUUAAAAAUUAAAGAUUCACGUAAAUUAAAUUUAUGGAUAACGGCUCAAA